rnacentral:rRNA from 1 species
AGGUAGUUGGUAGGGUAAUGGCCUACCAAGCCUAUGACGGGUAGCCGGCCUGAGAGGGCGACCGGCCCGAGGGGCACUGAGACACGGGCCCCACUCCUACGGGAGGCAGCAGGCUUGAAAUUUGGGCAAUGGGGGAAACCCUGACCCAGCGACGCCGCGUGCGGGAUGAAGCCCUUAGGGGUGUAAACCGCUGUCAGGGGGGAAGAUGGGUCGGCUGGCCAAUACCCAGUCGACUUGACGGUACCCUCUGAGGAAGCCCAGGCUAACCUCGUGCCAGCAGCCGCGGUAAUACGAGGUGGGCGAGCGUUGUCCGGAAUCACUGGGCUUGAAGUGGAUGUAGGCGGGUAGAUAAGUCGGACGUGUAAUCUAACGGCUCAACCGUUGGUCUGCGUCCGAUACUGUCUGCCUUGAGGACGGGAGAGGAGAGCGGAACUCCCGGUGUAGCGGUGAAAUGCGUAAAUAUCGGGGGGAACACCAGUGGCGAANGGCGGUUCUCUGGCCCGUUCCUGACGCUCAUAUCCGAAAGCCAGGGGAGCGAAGGGGAUUAGAUACCCCCGUAGUCCUGGCCGUAAACGAUCCCCACUAGGUGUCAGGGGCUAAGACCUUUGGUGCCGCAGGGAAACCAUUAAGUGGGGCGCCUGGGGAGUACGCCCGCAAGGGUGAAACUCAAAGGAAUUGACGGGGGCCCGCACAAGCGGUGGAGCGUGUGGUUCAAUUCGAUGCUAAGCGAAGAACCUCACCUGGGUUUGACAUGCUGGUGGUACCCCGACUGAGAGGUUGGGGGACCCGGCUUGCCGGGAGCCAGCACAGGUGGUGCACGGCUGUCGUCAGCUCGUGCCGUGAGGUGUUGGGUUAAGUCCCGCAACGAGCGCAACCCCUAUCCUUAGUUGCUACCAGCGACCAUGUGUCGGCUGGGCACUCUAAGGGGACUGCCGGCGAUGAGUCGGAGGAAGGUGGGGAUGACGUCAAGUCAGUGUGUCCUUUAUGCCCAGGGCUACACACGCGCUACAAUGGGGACUACAGAGGGUAGCAACCUCGCGAGAGGAAGCCAAUCCCUUAAAGGUCCUCCCAGUUCGGAUUGCAGGCUGCAACUCGCCUGCAUGAAGGUGGAAUCGCUAGUAAUCCCGCAUCAGCACGGCGGGGUGAAUACGUUCCCGGGUCUUGUACACACCGCCCGUCA